UUGGUUUUUUUUUUUUUUUUUUUUUUUUUUUUUUUUUGUAAGAUCUAUCUCCUUAAAAAAAUCUUAAGGGAACUGCAACGGUGAGUCUUUAGAAAAAAAUUCCACAUCAAAGAAUCGUGUUAGCCGUAAAAUGAUCGUUGCCAUGGUUUUAAACUGUGCCAAAUUACCAGCAAGUGUCUUUAUUACAGUACUUGGCUAACAUGGCUGCUGAAACAUAUUUGGUGGGAAUACAAGUGGAGUGCACUUCAAUUAGACUGGACAGUUCUAAUGGAAGAAGCUAGCUAACUAAUUAGCAGCAAUUCUGGUCACUGGAAAUGUGAGUCAGAGACAUGCUGUUUGAGAUGUGAUUUACUAGCACAUUGUCAGAUACAACCUUCCAUAGUUUACAAUGCCCCUCAGUUGUUGCCACUCAUUUCUCCAUCAUGGUGGUUUCUAGCUUCUGCACUCUGGUUUUUUUUCUUUGUGGGUACAUAUUUUGUGAAGUGCCACCUUCCUCUGCUGAACUAAUACCAUCAUCUUCUGCUACAGGACAGGAGAUACUUGACAGGGCAAAACCUCAGUUUGCCACCUAAGAAGGGGUGCCAAUGAGCACAUACCUCUUCUCACUUUAAAAAAAAAAAUUGUGUUGCUGAAGGCAAUCCCAUUCACCCAUAAGUGUUGUCAAGUAAACCAAAAGAGGAAGGAUGUUUUCCCCCAAAGGACUGGCACAGGAGGGGGAUUGGGGAAAUCUAGCAGACAUAGUAGUCACAGCAUGUCUAUUUGGUUGAUUUAAGAACAAUAAAAAGGAACAUCAGAUGUUAACCAUAGAGAAAAUCCUGUAGGUUCAUGUACUAAAGAGAGUGCUGUAUGUUCUAUGAACUGCUAAGCAGAGAGCAACUUUCUCCAACAGUUAUGUGUGCUAGAUUAGUGGGGGUCUUUCUCUGUGUAUUAGAUCAUUCAAGUGAUUCAAUAAAGUUAUGUUUGGAGAUACUCACCCUCCCCCCCCCAAAAAAAAACUAUGGAGCAAUUUUAGAAGUCUGGAGUAUCUCAAAGUUCAUGGUAGUUAAGCCUUUUCUACUAGGGGUUUAUCUCAUAAUUUUUAAUGAAGACUUGACUGCUGUCUCAAAGUGGCUUGCUAUUUUAGGUACAAGGGAGUAUUUUGUUCUGUGACUUAAGAACCUGGAGUCCCAUGUAAUAUUUAGGAGCCAAUAGAUUCCUGACCUGCCACUGCAACAACACACUGACAGUUUCUCCAUGCAGGCCACAAAUAAGUAAGAAUAAAGCAUGAAGUUGUAUAAGAUGGAGAAUGUAGCUGUUUAGGGUUAUAGCUUAGCUGAGGCAUUUUAAGUGAUUCUGAAAUAAUUACAGAAUAGUAGCAAAAAUAAUGUACCCAACAAUGUACUUUGUAAAAGUUGAUGUAAUAUUUGAGAGAGGGAGAGUCUAUAAACCUGAGAAUGUUAAGAGUUUUAAGGUGGCAAAAGCGUCAACAUUUCAGCCUGAUCUCUUAAUUUCCUUGGACAAAUAAGUCUCUAGCCUCAGUCUAACUUUUUUUUUUCCUAACUGUAUUAGGCAAUUUCUAUAUAUUAGCUUAAGAAAGUUUGUUGCAUGCUGGUCAAACAGUGUUGUGGCUCUUUUUAAAAAAAGCACAUUUACUGUAAUUCAACUCAACACUUUUUCCUCUUGAUAUGUAGUAAGUCCUAGGCAAUAUUGUAUAAUAUGUGUAUGAACUAGAUUAGAUUAGAUAGAUUUAGUGGUUUGUAGCACUGGAUCUUUUAAUAACUAUGUCUUUAAAAGGACUAUGGGAAUAUAGAUACAUUCCAAACUUGAUAACUGAAUGACAGGGGUUUUAUCUUCAGUUACUUUGAAAAUUUUAUAUGGGUAUUUUGUUUGGAUACUAGCUACCUGUAUAACUAGUUAUUAACACUUUACCUGUGUCCAGUAAGAGGUAUGCAACUUCCCCCAAAUCUUUUUAACUGGGUGUGAGAGGAAUAAAUAUGCCAAAAAGCAUCCCAAGAAAUCUCCUUUUGGGACUGGCAGUUGGACAGCUCUGUUCCUCCAUGAAUAGCGAAAUCCACAUUUUGUGGUUGCACCUCCUUCAACUCUGCAAGCUCAAAUGUGAUUAGUUAAAUAUAGGACUAUUCGAGGCUAUGGAUCGUCUUGUUUAUGUUUUUAAUCACAUUAGAAGGUCACUGUCAGAUUAAAACUCCUAUUUUUAAAAAUAUAUAUUUUUCUCUUCUGUGUUAAUAAAAUAACACUAGAAAUUACUGUAAUUGAAAGUUAUUCUAUUUUAUGCUGUCUUGCUUAUCUGCAUUUCUCACAUCUUGAAUAGUGAUAAUAGACUAGCUAGUUUCACUUAGUUUGUCGUGCACUAGGGGAAUGCUACAGUGUCUGGGUUUCAAACACUCAAGAACUGUGUUUACAGGCAAAUAAAAAUGUUUUCCCCACUGGGAUAGUGGGAUUAAAAUAAAACAAACCACAGAAACACUUCUAAUGGUUCACAAUCAAAGAGCUUUAGGCUAGGAGGAUCAUUAUGAGCUUUCUAGCACAACCUCCUUCAUGCCUCAGGUGGGAGAAUUUCAGCCAAUACUUCCUGCAUUGAGCUCAAUGUGUGUCGAUAAAGUAGAGAAAAAUCUUUUAGUUAGAUAUGCUGUCUUGAUUUAAGGACUCCAAGUGAUAGUGCUCCACAAGGUCUUAAGCUUGGAAAAACUGACUUUUGCAAAACCAAACUUUUUUGGUCAUAUUUGAUCUGCCAUUGUCUGUGUAAGAUAAUGUGAUAUGGUAGCUCUAACUUCUGCCUCUGGCACAUCAAAUCUGUAAAAGUAGCAGUUUACUAGAAUGAGCAUCUGAAACCUGAAUAAAGGUACAUUACUCGUAAAAGAGUCUUAAGUUUAAGUGUUAGUUAUGUUUUUUCUCUGUGAGCAAACCUAAGACAGGGAUGGGCAACUUGCAUCCCAUCAGGGUUCUGUGUGUAGCCCGCAAGAUACUUUAUUUACUACUGCCCAUGUGCAGGGUUGCUAAUUUCCGCUGGCUUCUGUCCGCAUAGUGUUUUCCUUACCAGUACUACUCAAGUGACAUGCACAUAAAACAAGGGCACAUGAAGUGAGGUGCAUGCUGAUUGUACACGGUAUUGAUUGUGAGAGCUGCAUGUUCUUGCUGCAUCCAAUCAAAGCAUUGCUGCGGUUCAGUCGACACACCCGCAAAUUCUAGGCAUGCAGCACAGUUAAGCAAACACGCCCUAUUCUGGGAGACUGUCUUGGUUAUGACAGUCUUUUGGCUCACUGAGAUGGAGGGCCGCUCGUGCAGCCCGCUCACUAGCCUAAGUUAACCAUCCCUGGCAUAAGAGUGGGUGAAGGGACAAAUCAUUGCAUGCUCAGCAGAGGGCUAAUUCUCCAUUUCUUGCAUACCUAAAGCUGUUCUUGAUGUUCAUGGGAGGUUCAAUUGCAAAAGGAAUCCUUAGAUGUCACUUUUUUGUCAUCUAUCUUUUUGCUUUUAAGGAGGUGGUGAUGGCUAUAUCAUUAAGAGCAAAAUUACCUUUUCCUGAUGGGAAGUCCAUGAACAAGGAGAGCAGAAUUUUGGAACCGAGACUUGUACAGAUUUCCCCUGUUUGCAGUGUGAACAUGCUGAAGAUACAACAAUAUGAUCAGUCCUGGCUUCUCCCCCCCCCCCCCCUCCAAGCACCUGGCAUUGCUUUCUCCUUGCCCUGACCCAACUAGCAUGAUGUAGAGAUAAAAUAAGGCAUGGAUUAUGUAUUUGAAUCCAUGGAUCCAGAUUCUAGUACCUCCAUGGAUUCAAGUAUAAGAGUUUGUCUAUGUGGAUCCAGUUGUAGGAUGAGGGCUAAGCAGACUUUGGGCUGGCUGUCCAAUCUACGCAUCCCAACUUCUUGGAAAGGAUUUUUGAAGGAAAAUCACAGUUCUUUGUUUGAAUGAUAUUUCAUGUUCUUAAUUAUGGAUCAUUUAUCAAAGUACUGAUUAGAAAUUGUAGGUUUUUCUGGAGUCAGAAUGUCACAAGUUCUUAUAUAGGAUCUAUUUAUCAUGUUGAAGCAGUUAGCAGGCUCUCAACUGAAGCAUGAUUGGUAAUGUAUGAACAAUAAGACAACUUUUUAUGAAAUUAAUUUUGUUAGUUUAUUACACACUGUUACUAAUAUUUUAAAACAGGAGAAAUAUUUUUCUUUAAAGACAAAAUGAUGUAUGAUUUCUAACAGAGGACAUAAUUUAGCAUUUUCAAAAAUGUUUUAUGCUGUUGGUAUGACGUUUACUCCUUCUCUUGAUUCAUAUGUUCCAUGUUAUAUUUUAUCAACUUUUUUUUUAAAUGUAAAUUAUUACCAGGAAAGAAUCUUAGAGAACAUUCUGUAAACUGAUCAUUAAAUUGUUAGAAAUAUUUGUUACUGUUCAAAGUCUCUGCUAUUAUCCAGGCUUUCAUUGAAGUUGAUGUUGUAUUUUCCAAGAUGGAAACUAUUUAACUAGUUUUGUCACAAUCCUGUAUAAAAAUUUUUUAUAAAGAGAGUCUAAAUAGGCUAACAAGCAAUAAUAUAUUCCAUUUUAUGUGCACAGAGUGUGACUUGCAGGCUGUAGUACAUAUUGUUGAUAACAGUAGAUAACUGUCUUCGUUAUUAAUUACAUCACUUCUGAAAAGAUCCAUAUUAAUUUAUUAAUCCAUAUGGUUAAUAAAAAUGAAGAUU